rnacentral:rRNA from 1 species
AUGGAAGAGGAGGCCCGGCCGCCCCUGCUCCCGGUGCGCAUCCCGAUGAACGGCGAGGACCUGGCCCCUGCCGCCCCCGGCGCGUGCGCCGUCGGCGGCGGCAGGGCGGAGAUCGACACCUCGGCGCCGUUCGAGUCCGUGCGGGAGGCCGUCGACCGCUUCGGCGGCAGCGCCGCCUGGAGCUCCCACCUCGUCAACCGCAUCUUCGCGCACCACAAGAAGCAGAACCAGACUGUGUGCAUGGGGACUGAAGACGAGCAAUGCGCCAAUCUGGCGGAGCAGACCGCGCAGAUAGAGAAGGAGCUCGGCGCCAAGGAGAGGGAGACGCUCGAUGUGCUCAAGCAGCUCGAGUCCGCCAAGAGGAUCAUCGCAGAUUUGAAGCUCAAGAUUCAGAAGAAAACAGCUGAAGAUGCAUUGCAAGCUGAAGAAGAGAAGCAGCAGCAUCCAGAGAGCAACUGCUCUCUCACUCAAUUGUCCACAGCAGAACCUGAAGUGAAGCAGCCCGAAGGAAACGCUGAAGCUGCAGAAGAAGUGCAGAUAACAGAGCCUGAAGUGAAGCAGCAGCCUGAGGAAAAUGCAAAUUCUGGAGCUGAUGUGGACAUGUGUGCCGGUCUAGACGAACAAGAGCAGCAGCAGCAGCAUCCUAACUUGGUUCUGAUGGAGCUCGAGCAGGCAAAGUCGAACCUGAACAGAACCACGGGUGAUCUCGCUGCCAUCAGAGCCUCCAUCGAGUCGCUGCGUCAUGACAUAGCGACGGAGAAAGUCUUGGUGGAGAGGAGCCGGGCGAAGGUGUCCUCGGAUGCCACCUUGGUUUCUUCUCUGAAGGAGGAGCUGGAUCAGACCACGAAGAAGCUGCAGACGCUGAAGGAUCUGCAGAGAAGGCGCGAGGAUCCCUCGGACAUCUUCUUCGAGAUCAAGAGGAUGACUUCAGAGAUAGAGCAGCUCAGGAAUGCAGCAAAUGCGUCGAAGUCUGAAGCCAUGAUGUUAGCUGCCGAGAUUGAGCAGACCAAGGCUACCAUCGGCACUGCUGAAGUGAGAUGUCUUGCUGCCAAGAAGAUGGAAGAAGCAGCAAGGGCAGCCGAAGCUCUUGCACUAGCUGAGAUCAAGGCCCUACUCUGCAGUGAAGCCUCAGCUGAAGACCUCCAGGGCACAGAUGGAGUGAUCCUUUCAGUGGAAGAGUACUCCGAGCUUGCUUCGAAGGCUCGAGAGGUCGAUGAAAGCUCAAGGAACAAGAUUGCAGCUGCCAUGGUUCAUGUAGACGAAGCCAACCAAUCAAAGUCAGAGUCACUCACAAGGCUAGAGGAAGCCAAAAUGGAGGUUGAGGAGUGUAAGAAGGCACUGCAAGAGGCCCUGAAGAGGGUAGAGACUGCCAACCGAAGAAAGUUUGCGGUGGAAGAGACCCUUCGCCGAUGCCGGUCCGAGACCGGACACAAGAGGCGCUCAUUCCGUGGCUCCCCCAAGUUCAAAACUGCAGCACAUCGUCACAGAGAUGAUUCUCACUGCAUGGACAUCGUCGAUGUUUCAGACAACUCCAUGAAGCCGACACUGUCGAUCGGGCAGAUACUGAGUAUGAAGCUAAUGGGGCCUGAUGGGUACGACAAGAGCGUGUCGGAUGACACGAGUACGAGUGAAACUUCUAGUGUCUCCCUUGGCCAGAUCCUGAACAGGAGGCAGGCAAUCUUGACUUAUAGCAGUGAUACAAGUGCUAACAAGAAAUUCUCCGGAAAGAGGAAGAAGUUUGCCUUCACUGGACUUUCAGUUUUCUUGGCAAAGCAGGCCAAGAGCAAGAAAAAGAGAGGGUCAGAUGAGAACUGA